GCGGACGUGGCGGAACUGGCAGACGCGCCAGGUUUAGGUCCUGGUGGGAUUUAUCCCUUGUGAGUUCGACUCUCACCGUCCGCA
rnacentral:tRNA from 1 species